UCCGUCGUGGUGUAGUGGCUAGCAUUUGAGACUCUCAACCCGCUUUCAUGCAAGGUGGCGCGAGCACUCUCAGAACCCGGGUUCAAUUCCCGGCGACGGAA